AUGGGGUAUGGCUGCGGGGGAGGGGACGCGGCCAACGACAGGAAGAAGGAGCAGGUCGUCGAGGACUACAAGCAGCAGGUUUCCUUUGACUGGAAGUCUGAAACUGAAGAUAGGGCAUAUUGUUUUGGUUCUGAGUGGCCGGAGAUAUUGUGGCUUGAUGUCCCUAGAGCAGUCGGACCCUUCCAAGAUAGGGUCGAACUGCGCUAUAUUUCUUUCAUUGAGGCGAGGGUGAUUCCAGUAGGUGAGAUUUUGCUUGGCGGACUCGCCUUUUUUUAUUGA
rnacentral:rRNA from 1 species